CUUGUAAUUUAAAGUCUUGGUUGAGAAGAAAAAGCUCAUGUCACAAGUGGGUUUAGAACCCAUGACCUUUGGCUCAAUAAGCCACUGCUCCUAACCACAUGAGCUACUUUUUAAAUAUCUUUUUAAGACACAUAUCAUAUAUUAUAUGUGGAAUGUAUAGUACUGAUAUAUGUAUUGUUUUGUAUCCAAUAACGUGUGUUGAAAUGUAUGUCAAUGUGAAUGUUUUGUACAGCACAACGGAAUCAAUAGGUUUGUAAAACACGAGCCAAUUUCCAAGGUGGUUUUAGCCGGCAAAAUUUGGUUAUGCUGGUCUUUAUUUUUGAUUGCUGGAGGUAGAUGUCUGUUCAGGAUCUGACAGCUUCGGUGUUUGGUUUUGGUUGCUGUACACAGAAAAUCCAGAUGCGCAUAGAGUCAAAAAUGGGGUAACUCGGGACUUGAAAAUAGAUUUCAAGGUGCAGUCGGAAGUAAUGUCUAUCAAACAUACUUAUUCACUUGAUGAUUGAAGCUGGGAAUUAUGAAAACCUCCCAUAUCAACACAUAGUAUUAUGAAAAGCCUUGACUUCAAUGGCAAUAUAAUUAAUAAUUUGAACAGACUCAUCCAAAACUUUCUUAAAAGCGGCUGGCAUUUGUUUCGUAGGUAAAGCAUGUGCUGAAAAUAAAAACUUUAAUUUUCAGUACUCAUUGUUAUUACUUUUAAAUUUUAUUUAUUCAAUCUCCGUUUAUUUUUGCAAUUAUUACUUUUUCUUGAAACUUGCUGUGGACCCACAAGUUUAUCCCGGUCUAAUUCAAUCAAAGAUCUUUUCUUAUUUUUAAGUCUAGAUCUGAGUUUCAACAACCAUAACUUAAAUCCAAAAAGCAAAUGAAAUUCUUGGUUAAAAAUACAGCAAAUUUCUAUAACAGUCUAGCCUUAAUACUAGUACAAGAGUCCAAUACUGAAAUAGUGUAUUGAUUCGAUACAUUACUGUAUAAAUAAAUGCUGAAACUAAAAGAGAAAAUGAAAAAAUAAUUUCACAACCAAUUUUUUUACAUGUAAUAAAAAUAAAGUUAUCGUGAAGCUCAAUUUUUAACUCAAACAUAAAAUAUAGUCGUCAUGACUGACAACUGUAUUUAAUAUUGAAACAAUACGAACGCAUGAUUUUAUAAUUUCAUUUAUGUGCCAUAUCCUUGUAAAACAUUUUUCUUGUCAGUUUGAUGAAGAAACAGCCAUCAAGUAGCUACGAUACACCACGAGGGCAGUGCCAGAGAUUGACA